rnacentral:rRNA from 1 species
CCUGGUUGAUCCCACCAGUAGUCAUAUGCUUGUCUCAAAGAUUAAGACAUGCAUGUGUAAGUAUGAAUAAAUUCAGACUGUGAAAUAGCGAAUUGCUCAUUAAAUUAGUGAUAGUUUGUUUGAUGGUAUCUACUACUUGGAUAACCGUAGUAAUUCUUGAGCUAAUACAUGCAACAAACCCAGACUUCUGGAAGGGAUGCAUUUAUUAGAUAAAAGGUCGAUGAGGGCUCAGCCCGUUGCUGUGAUGAUUCAUGAUAACUUGAUAGAUCACACGACCAUUGUACCAGCGACACAUCAUUUAAAUUUUUGUCCUAUAAAGUUUUGAUGAUAGGAUAGUGGCCUACAAUAGUGGUAAUGGGUGAAGGAUAAUUAGGGUUCGAUUUUCGAGAGCGAACCUGAGAAACGGCUACCACAUCUAAGGAAGGUAGCAGGCACGCAAACUACCCAAUCAUGACACGGGGAUGUAGUGACAAUAAAUAACAAUACCGAGCUUAAUGAGUCUGGUAAUUAGAAUGAGUACAAUCUAAAUCCCUUAACGAGGAUCCUUUGGUGGGAGAUUCUGGUGCCAGCAACCGCGGUAAUUCCAGCACCAAUAAUGUAUAUUUAAGCUGUUAUAAUUAAAAAGCUCAAAGUGAGACUUUGGGAUUGGCCGGCCAGUCCGCCUAUGGUGUGCAUUGGUCGUCUCGUCCCUUCUGUCGGUGAUGCACUCCGGCCUUAACUGGUCGGUCCGUGCCUCCGACGCUGUUACUUUGAAGAAAUUAGAGUACUUAAAGAAAGCCUACGCUCUGUAUACAUUAGCAUGGGAUAAUGAUAAACAGGGACAGUCGGGGGCAUUUGUAUUUUAUAGUCAGAGGUAAAAUUAUUGAAUUUAUGAAAUACAAACAACUGGAAAAGCAUUCUCCAAGGAUGUUUUCAUUAAUGAAGAAUGAAAGUUGGGGGCUCGAAGGCAAUCAAAUACCGUCCUAGUCUCAAUCAUAAAUGAUGCCGACCAGGGAUCGGCGGAUGUUACUUUUAGGACUUCGUCGUCACCUAUGAGAAAUCAAAGUUUUUAGGUUCCGGGGGGAGUAUGGUGGCAAGGCUGAAAGUUAAAGGAAUUGACAGAAGGGCACCACCAGGAGUGGAGCUUGCGGCUUAAUUUGACUCAACCCGGGGAAACUUACUAGGUCUAGACAUAGUAAGGAUUGAAAGACUAAGAGCUCUUUCUUGAUUC